AACGAACGCUGGCGGCAGGCCUAACACAUGCAAGUCGAGCGAAGCCUUCGGGCUUAGCGGCGGACGGGUGAGUAACGCGUGGGAACGUGCCCUUUGGUACGGAAUAGCCCCGGGAAACUGGGAGUAAUACCGUAUGUGGUCGAGAGACGAAAGAUUUAUCGCCAAAGGAUCGGCCCGCGUUGGAUUAGGUAGUUGGUGGGGUAAUGGCCUACCAAGCCGACGAUCCAUAGCUGGUAUGAGAGGAUGAUCAGCCACACUGGGACUGAGACACGGGCCAGACUCCUACGGGAGGCAGCAGUGGGGAAUCUUAGACAAUGGGGGAAACCCUGAUCUAGCCAUGCCGCGUGAUCGAUGAAGGCCUUAGGGUUGUAAAGAUCUUUCAGUGGGGAAGAUAAUGACUGUACCCACAGAAGAAGCCCCGGCUAACUCCGUGCCAGCCGCCGCCGUAAUAC
rnacentral:rRNA from 1 species